rnacentral:rRNA from 1 species
GAUGAACGCUGGCGGCGUGCCUAAUACAUGCAAGUCGAGCGAACAGACGAGGAGCUUGCUCCUCUGAUGUUAGCGGCGGACGGGUGAGUAACACGUGGAUAACCUACCUAUAAGACUGGGAUAACUUCGGGAAACCGGAGCUAAUACCGGAUAACAUGUUGAACCGCAUGGUUCAACAGUGAAAGACGGUCUUGCUGUCACUUAUAGAUGGAUCCGCGCCGCAUUAGCUAGUUGGUAAGGUAACGGCUUACCAAGGCAACGAUGCGUAGCCGACCUGAGAGGGUGAUCGGCCACACUGGAACUGAGACACGGUCCAGACUCCUACGGGAGGCAGCAGUAGGGAAUCUUCCGCAAUGGGCGAAAGCCUGACGGAGCAACGCCGCGUGAGUGAAGAAGGUCUUCGGAUCGUAAAACUCUGUUAUUAGGGAAGAACAAAUGUGUAAGUACCUAUGCACGUCUUGACGGUACCUAAUCAGAAAGCCACGGCUAACUACGUG